rnacentral:rRNA from 1 species
CCCACAGGCCGUAAACCCAAGGUUUCCAGGGGAAGGUUCGUCCGCCCUGGGUUAGUCGGGACCUAAGCUGAGGCCGAAAGGCGUAGGUGAUGGACAACAGGUUGAUAUUCCUGUACUACCGAUAACCAUUUGAGAGAAGGGAUGACACAGUAGGAUAAGCUAAGCACACUGUUGGUUAUGUGUGCCCAAGCAUUGAGGCAGUCAAAGUAGGCAAAUCCGCUUUGAUAAUGCUGGGAUGUGAUGGGGAGCGAAAUUUAGUAGCGAAGUAGCUGAUUUCACACUGUCAAGAAAAGUCUCUAUCGAGGUUAAAGGUACCCGUACCGCAAACCGACACAGGUGGGUGAGGAGAGUAUCCUAAGGCCAGCGAGAGAACUGUUGUUAAGGAACUCGGCAAAAUGACCCCGUAACUUAGGGAUAAGGGGUGCCACCAUCAGGUGGCCGCAGAGAAUAGGCCCAAGCGACUGUUUACCAAAAACAUAGGUUUCUGCUAAGUCGCAAGACGAUGUAUAGGAGCUGACGCCUGCCCGGUGCUGGAAGGUUAAGGGGAUCUGUUAGAGCAAUCGAAGCAGUGAACUUAAGCCCCAGUAAACGGCGGCCGUAACUAUAACGGUCCUAAGGUAGCGAAAUUCCUUGUCGGGUAAGUUCCGACCCGCACGAAAGGCGUAACGAUUUGGGCACUGUCUCA